rnacentral:hammerhead_ribozyme from 1 species
GCACUACUGAGGAGUCCCACAACAGGACGAAACGGCCUUCCAGUGC